UACGUAGGGGGCAAGCGUUGUCCGGAUUUAUUGGGCGUAAAGAGCGUGUAGGCGGCCUGACAGGUCUGCUGUGAAAACUCGAGGCUCAACCUCGAGAUGUCGGCGGAAACCGUCUGGCUAGAGUCCGGAAGAGGAGAGUGGAAUUCCUGGUGUAGCGGUGAAAUGCGCAGAUAUCAGGAAGAACACCAAUAGCGAAGGCAGCUCGCUGGGACGUGACUGACACUAAGGCGCGAAAGCGUGGGGAGCGAACAGG
rnacentral:rRNA from 1 species